ensembl:lncRNA
AGAAGGCUCCGCACCAGGGCAGAGGGCAAGUUGAGCGGCUCUCCUGCGAGCGGAGCAGAGACAGGUGGACCCAAACAGCAAAAGAGAUAUCGCGAGACCCUGGGAUCCCGCGGACCAACGCCGCGUGUGGAGAGAGGGCGUCUCGUCGCUCCAGCAGGAAGGCGCCCCCAGCCCACCGCUGGUCCUCCCGCUGCCGUUGAAGUGCCGUGCCUCCCUCCGCUGUAGGCAGGCCCAGGCGGGGACGGUCCCGCUCCUCCGAGGCCUUCCUCCGGGUCUGUCCCGUGUCUUCUGUCCUGAGGAGACUGAAUGACCGAAGAGGAAUGUUAAGAUUCCAGAAGAAACCUACACUACAUCUCAUCUCAAUGAAAGAGUAACUGGAAAUUUCAACACAAAGGGA